GGUACUACAAUCCUCAAAGGAGAUGUAAUAUGUGAGUGUCAAGACAAAACAAGAUAUACCGAAAAUUUUGCCCCGGUUUGGUGUUUGGGAAAAUGAGUUGGGGUUCGGAUCCAUGAAAAUUAGGGUGAAAAUUCAAGGGAGAUCUGUAAAGCUGCCCCAGUCUUGAGAUUAUGGGUUGAUUAAUUUCAGGGCGAAGACGCAUGGUGAAAUCCACAAAGCUGCCCCAGUUUUUUUUUUGGCAUAGGGUUUUGUUUGGAAGAGAUAGUGGGCAUGAAAAGGAUAGGCUAAAAGGAUGGCCUCAACUGGUUUGAUUUUCUUUUGCAUGCUUCUCGCUAGUUGGUAGGGAGAUCCCCUCUUCCUAAGACAUUGUUUUUUUUUUCUUCCUUCUUUUUGUUUUUCAUUCAUUCAUUUUCAACCUCUUUUUUUCGACA
rnacentral:lncRNA from 1 species